ACCCUUGCAGGCUCACUAUUGGCUGAUUCAAAGGUUCAGGGCGGACAUUUUGGGUUCACAUCAUUGUAGUCCUUAGUUCACAGCACUUAAGUCCCACUUCAGUCAGCACUUAAGAAUCAGUCUUAUACUUUACUGAAAGUUGCUUUUAGCUGCUUUAUAAAUGUCUCCUACUCUUAGAAAAGUCCUACUCUUUACUUAGUAUUUUCUGACACUUAAGUCAAAGCUUAAGACUAUUCUUAAGAGCAUUUCUUAGAAGUUUUAUACAUACGGGCCCAGAUCUUUUGGCGCUUUUGGUGUUUUUCAGGUUUCUUUUUAUUAUAGAUUUGCCCUUGCAUUUAAAUAUCUCCUUCAAAACAGUAGUGAUUUCAAAGCAAGAAAAAAGAUAAAGGCUAUGGAAUAUUUGAUUGGAUUGAUCCAGAACUUCCCAUAUGAGGACCCACAGUAACUUCAAGAGGACAUGGAAAGGGUGCGUCCAAAGCUUAGACAGGUGUGCUCUUUAUUGAACUCUGGCAACAGACUUUAAAGAAUAUGUGAGUGGAUCAACGGGAAUAUCUUUUACAUCAGCAUGAUGACAGUGUUUGUGAGGGGGUUUGUGGUGCUCACGUGCAAUGUGUACACGAGUGGACUGUUAUCACUCUCACUGGACCUGUAAGACAGAAUUCGGGAACAGUUAACUAAACCGAAUUCUAGAAAACAGAGUGGAAGCGUUUGGGAGUUUUUAAAGUG